GUACACUCCUACGGGAGGCAGCAGUGGGGAAUUUUGGACAAUGGGCGAAAGCCUGAUCCAGCAAUGCCGCGUGUGUGAAGAAGGCCUUCGGGUUGUAAAGCACUUUUGUCCGGAAAGAAAUCCUUGGCUCUAAUACAGUCGGGGGAUGACGGUACCGGAAGAAUAAGCACCGGCUAACUACGUGCCAGCAGCCGCGGUAAUACGUAGGGUGCGAGCGUUAAUCGGAAUUACUGGGCGUAAAGCGUGCGCAGGCGGUUUGCUAAGACCGAUGUGAAAUCCCCGGGCUCAACCUGGGAACUGCAUUGGUGACUGGCAGGCUAGAGUAUGGCAGAGGGGGGUAGAAUUCCACGUGUAGCAGUGAAAUGCGUAGAGAUGUGGAGGAAUACCGAUGGCGAAGGCAGCCCCCUGGGCCAAUACUGACGCUCAUGCACGAAAGCGUGGGGAGCAAACAGGAUUAGAUACCCGAGUAGUCCC
rnacentral:rRNA from 1 species